rnacentral:rRNA from 1 species
UACGUAGGUGGCAAGCGUUGUCCGGAUUUACUGGGCGUAAAGCGCGCGCAGGCGGACUGAUCAGUCUGGGGUGAAAUCUCACGGCUCAACUGUGAGCGGUCCCUGGAUACUGUCAGUCUUGAGAGACCUAGAGGAGAGCGGAAUUCCCGGUGUAGUGGUGGAAUGCGUAGAUAUCGGGAAGAACACCAGUGGCGAAAGCGGCUCUCUGGGGGUUUUCUGACGCUGAGGCGCGAAAGCGUGGGGAGCGAACAGG